rnacentral:rRNA from 1 species
UACGUAGGGGGCAAGCGUUGUCCGGAAUCAUUGGGCGUAAAGAGCGUGUAGGCGGCCCGGUAAGUCCGCUGUGAAAGUCCAGGGCUCAACCCUGGAAUGCCGGUGGAAACUGUCGGGCUAGAGUCCGGAAGAGGCGAGUGGAAUUCCUGGUGUAGCGGUGAAAUGCGGCAGAUAUCAGGAGGAACACCAAUGGCGAAGGCAGCACUCUGGGACGGUACUGACGCUGAGACGCGAAAGCGUGGGGAGCAAACAGG